rnacentral:rRNA from 1 species
AUACAUGCAAGUCGAACGCUUCUUUCUUAUCGAACUUCGGUUCACCAAGAAAGAGGAGUGGCGGACGGGUGAGUAACACGUGGGUAACCUGCCCUUUAGCGGGGGAUAACACUUGGAAACAGGUGCUAAUACCGCAUAAUCUUUUUUCUCGCAUGAGAGAAAAGUGAAAGACGCUUUUGCGUCACUAGAGGAUGGACCCGCGCUGCAUUAGCUAGUUGGUGAGGUAAAGGCUCACCAAGGCCACGAUGCAUAGCCGACCUGAGAGGGUGAUCGGCCACACUGGGACUGAGACACGGCCCAGACUCCUACGGGAGGCAGCAGUAGGGAAUCUUCGGCAAUGGACGAAAGUCUGACCGAGCAACGCCGCGUGAGUGAAGAAGGUUUUCGGAUCGUAAAACUCUGUUGUUAGAGAAGAAUAAGGAUGAGAGUAGAAUGUUCAUCCCUUGACGGUAUCUAACCAGAAAGCCACGGCUAACUACGUGCCAGCAGCCGCGGUAAUACGUAGGUGGCAAGCGUUGUCCGGAUUUAUUGGGCGUAAAGCGAGCGCAGGCGGUUUAUUAAGUCUGAUGUGAAAGCCCCCGGCUCAACCGGGGAGGGUCAUUGGAAACUGGUAGACUUGAGUGCAGAAGAGGAGAGUGGAAUUCCAUGUGUAGCGGUGAAAUGCGUAGAUAUAUGGAGGAACACCAGUGGCGAAGGCGACUCUCUGGUCUGUAACUGACGCUGAGGCUCGAAAGCGUGGGGAGCGAACAGGAUUAGAUACCCUGGUAGUCCACGCCGUAAACGAUGAGUGCUAAGUGUUGGAGGGUUUCCGCCCUUCAGUGCUGCAGCAAACGCAUUAAGCACUCCGCCUGGGGAGUACGGUCGCAAGACUGAAACUCAAAGGAAUUGACGGGGGCCCGCACAAGCGGUGGAGCAUGUGGUUUAAUUCGAAGCAACGCGAAGAACCUUACCAGGUCUUGACAUCCUUUGACCACUCUAGAGAUAGAGCUUUCCCUUCGGGGACAAAGUGACAGGUGGUGCAUGGUUGUCGUCAGCUCGUGUCGUGAGAUGUUGGGUUAAGUCCCGCAACGAGCGCAACCCUUAUUGUUAGUUGCCAUCAUUCAGUUGGGCACUCUAGCGAGACUGCCGGUGACAAACCGGAGGAAGGUGGGGAUGACGUCAAAUCAUCAUGCCCCUUAUGACCUGGGCUACACACGUGCUACAAUGGGAAG